AGAAAAAAAAAAACAUUUUUGGAGGCAAGGGUUUUUUCAUAACCUUUACCAGUGUGGGCUGUUUGGGAGAAUAAAGAGACCACACUCCACAGUGGACUAUACAUAUCACUUAGUAUAGUUCGCUACUAUUUUGUGGCCUACAGU